UCAGGUGGAUGCCUUGCAGGGCCAUCUUCAACAAAUGGAGCAGGAAGCCCUGGUGAAGGUCAGACUGAACCAGCAGCUGGGCUCAGUUUGUCUUUGGGGAUGUCCUCUGUCAUUGGGUUUUCUGGCCAGACUCUGUGUAUCAUGAUUGCAGGAGCCUGGGUUUACCAAUUUUGAAAUUUCAUGUCAUGCAGGCCAGUAUGGUUCUAGUCCAGGAGGCACUUGUUCUGGCUGUUGUUCUUGCCAUGUCUUUGGUUUUAUGUAUGUGUGAGAGAAUGUAUGUGUUGACAUGUGUAUACAUAUGCAAGUGUUUUCUUUUAGUGAGACUUUUCCUUCGCUGUAUC
rnacentral:lncRNA from 1 species